UAAGACGAACCGAGCGAACGUUAUUCGGAAUCACUGGGCUUAAAGGGUGCGUAGGCGGGCCGUAAAGUCAGGGGUGAAAUCCUCCAGCUCAACUGGAGAAGUGCCUCUGAUACUCGCGGCCUCGAGGGAGGUAGGGGCGUGCGGAACUUCCGGUGGAGCGGUGAAAUGCGUAGAUAUCGGAAGGAACACCAGUGGCGAAAGCGGCGCGCUGGACCUCUUCUGACGCUGAGGCACGAAAGCCAGGGGAGCAAACGGGAUUAGAUACCCCGGUAGUCCUGGCCCUAAACGAUGGGCACUAGGUAGCGGACUUACAUGGGUUCGCUGCCGAAGCAAAAGUGUUAAGUGCCCCGCCUGGGGAGUAUGGUCGCAAGGCUG
rnacentral:rRNA from 1 species